AAAAGAAAAGAUAGGGUCACCGUACGUUUUUUCCGGCUACAAUACAAAAUAGGAAAAUUCCAUGUAGAAUCCUUCAGAAAAUGUUCUGUUUAAGAGUUACCUCCCCUUAAAAGAGGGACGAAAGAUACCAAAGGGACAGUCAAACUUCGUAAAUCUAAAACAAACUAACAACGCCAUGGCUAAAAAUGAAAAAGACAAACAGAAAAACAAUAGUAUACAUGACACAACAUAGAAAACUAAAGAAUUAACAACACGAACCCCAC
rnacentral:lncRNA from 1 species